CAAGAUCAUCAAAUCAAUCACAUAAUAACAUUGCAUAAAUGUAUUCAAGCUUAAUAUAAUGCAAAUGUUAUAAGAUCUAGAAUUUUGUGUACCUUAUAUAAUGGAUUUCCUCACUUGAGAUUCAAUGAUGAGAGCAUCUUCAAUUGUUUGAAAUUUCACCACAUGCUCGUCAUUGUAAAUAUAGAACACUUGGUUGACGGUUGAGGAGAAAAGUUUUAUCUUUUAGAGUAUUCUCGAAUGUUGAGUAAAUUCAUCAUCUCUAAAGUAUCUUAGUCAAUAGUUUGAGAAGAGGUUGGUCCAAUACCAAUGUUAAUGCUUGAAUAAUGAGGUGUCA
rnacentral:lncRNA from 1 species